CCUACGGGUGGCAGCAGUGAGGAAUAUUGGUCAAUGGACGAGAGUCUGAACCAGCCAAGUAGCGUGAAGGAUGACUGCCCUAUGGGUUGUAAACUUCUUUUAUAUGGGAAUAAAACGUUCCACGUGUGGGAUUUUGUAUGUACCAUAUGAAUAAGGAUCGGCUAACUCCGUGCCAGCAGCCGCGGUAAUACGGAGAAUCCGAGCGUUAUCCGGAUUUAUUGGGUUUAAAGGGAGCGUAGGUGGAUUGUUAAGUCAGUUGUGAAAGUUUGCGGCUCAACCGUAAAAUUGCAGUUGAAACUGGCAGUCUUGAGUACAGUAGAGGCGGGCGGAAUUCGUGGUGUAGCGGUGAAAUGCUUAGAUAUCACGAAGAACUCCGAUUGCGAAGGCAGUUCACUGGACUGCAACUGACACUGAGGCUCGAAAGUGUGGGUAUCAAACAGGAUUAGAUACCCGAGUAGUC
rnacentral:rRNA from 1 species